rnacentral:lncRNA from 1 species
GGAUUAGGGAAAUCAAUUUGAGAAAACAUUGGAAAUCAAUACGGUUCGUGCCAUACUAACUGACCCUAGAAACCUCAUAGCGCAAAAUCAAUCACGCAAAUUUUACUGUGCACAACCAUUCACAUAGAAAAUCAAGAUCCGAUCUAGUGGUAGCUAACAACGCGUGGAACAGGAGGGGGAAACGAAGGGAGGUCAUGCGCAUGUUUACCUUGGGUGAUGCACGAUCCCAGACGCACGGAUGGACAAAGAUCUUGACUGAGACUUCAUGAAUCUUAGAGCAACCAUCAUUCAAACGGACACAAAUCUCGACUGAGACUUAGUUAAAACUCACUAAACUAAGUUUUCACAAUCGCGUAACCCUGUUAAUAAGAUUUCAGCUAUCACAACCAACAUUUACUUACAAAUCGGUUGGUGGAUAUGCAACUAUGAAUGAUACUUUUUGUAAAGUUGGUAGGAAACUUUUUGCAAAAAAAGGGACGACUACAAAUUUCGAAAAGAAAUAGCAAAAUCAAAUAAAAGGGAACACAUAAAUAAACAAGUUAUGUCGAUGUUCAUGUGCGAAACAAUCCCAUGGCCUUUUGUGGCGAGGCACUUUUGUGUAUGGUGAGCCUAGAGCCCGUUAAAGGCAUCCUAUUUUUUUAUUUUUUUGAAAAAGGAGGAUAUCCCCUACCUCUCCAUUAGCAUGAUGCAUACAACCAUAUUAUUAAGAAAAAAUCCAACAAUCUCCGUGCUCAAGUACGAGCUCCAUCUGAGCUAAAAUGAAAAUAAUUGAGAACAUAAAGAUGUAGAAUGCCACAUCGAGCAAAAAUAAGAUGAGAUGACUAAACACCUAGCCUAUUACUGUCUGGUCAUCCAAACUGAUUGUAGUUAUCAUAAGCUACAAUCUCCCAUCGGAUAGACUCAGUAACCAAAAGCUUCCUGGCUCCCGCAUGAGUGAGUAGCAACCACACACGGAUCCAACCAGUGACCUUGUAGAUUAUAUGCAAAAAAUCAAUCUGAGUUUGUGUGUUAAAAACCAUAUCAUUUCUAAAGUUCCAUAUAGCCCAAAAUAACACACAUACUCCUAUGUGAAUAUGUGUCGCAAUAGUUGGAUCAACCCAUUUAGCCACGUCCCGAAUAACAUGUCAAUAUUAUUUGAAGGUUUAAUAUUAAAGGCUAUAUGAAGUGAAAGUCAUAAUAUUGUAACCAUCGGACACUCGAGAAAGAGGUGUUUAAUCAUUUCAUCAUGAUCCCAACAACAACAUCGUUGACUGCCUACCAACUACCCUUUUCCAAGUUAUCCUUAGUCAGAAUCAUCUCCUUGUGAACAAUCGACAUAAAAACUUUGAUUCUUAGGGCCACUUUAAUCUUCUAAAUAUGUGUCAAUUUCAUGAUUUAAUCAGAGUUGAUUAGGUGUGACAUACAUGGAUUUCAGUGAAAACGAUCCAUUCACCAAUAGUUUUCGCUCAUCAGAUAGGUGCAAGUCCAUCAACAUGUAGCCAAGCAUUCCAUCAGUCUCCUACUACCGAGCUUCUGAAUUGAAUAUUGAGAGAUGCACACUGUAAUACUAUAGCAACAUAUGUGUCCUUAUGCUGCAUAAUAUUAUAUAAGAACGUAUAUUAUAUGGCCAACGACGUCUUCCCUAGCCACGCAUCCUUCCAAAAUCUAGUAGAAUGAUCGUUUCCAAUGAUGAAUUUCGCCCUCCUAAAGAAAAUCACUUUCACAUUAAUCAACCCCUUCCAGAAAAGUGAAUCAUUGGGUCUAACAGUGACUUGGGCCAAAGUUUUAGACCGAAGGUACUUGUCUCAUAAUAACUGCACCCACAUGCUUUCAGUCUCAACAUAAAGCCUAUAUUGUCACUGCUUAGUAAUUAAGCAUCUUUGUUUUACCUCUAAAUUCUCAAUGCCUAGCCCCACUAGUCCUUGGGUUGAUAAAUUAUACCCUUUAUUUUUAAAUAGCUACAAUCCAC